rnacentral:rRNA from 1 species
CCCUUAGAUGUUCUGGGCCGCACGCGCGCUACACUGAUGCAUUCAACGAGUCCAACCUUGACCGAGAGGUCCGGGUAAUCUUUGAAACUGCAUCGUGAUGGGGCUAGAUUAUUGCAAUUAUUAAUCUUCAACGAGGAAUGCCUAGUAAGCGUGAUUCAUCAAAUCGCGUUGAUUACGUCCCUGCCCUUUGUACACACCGCCCGUCGCUCCUACCGAUUGAGUGUGUUGGUGAGGAGUUUGGAUUGGCCUCGGAAGGUGGUUCGCCACCGUCCGUAGCUGAGAAGGUCUCCAAACCGCCCCACUUAGAGGAAGGAGAAGUCGUAACA